AGAUUGCUGAAUGUCUUUCACGAGGUCGGUAGUUUCCCCACCUCCAUGCUGUGACACGGAACGGGCUAUAUAAGACCAGAGAAAGACGCAAAGGCCCCUUUCCUGUCGAGAAUGAAGGCGCUCCCCGCGUAAAGGGCAGGAAGCCGCAUCAAACAUUACAUAAAGUGAGAUGACAUGACAUCAUCACAUCAUCGGCUACACACCCUUAUUAGCCCCAGGAUGUGUUACGUUAAUAUUUAUUACCAUCAUCAGACGUCAGAAAAUAAGCCCAGCUAUCAUUUCGUCACAACAUAAAAUGACGGGUCUUUUAUUGAGUCUUCAAGGAAAAAUUAAUCUGAAAAUGAAAUGUGCCAUACUUUCUUGUGCUGAUGCAAAUCUCAGCUCUGCAGAUCAUCUUCGUAAAAAAAAUAAAAAAAA